rnacentral:rRNA from 1 species
AUUGAACGCUGGCGGCAGGCCUAACACAUGCAAGUCGAACGAGUGGCGGACGGGUGAGUAAUGUCUGGGAAACUGCCUGAUGGAGGGGGAUAACUACUGGAAACGGUCGCUAAUACCGCAUACCCUCAUAUUUGCCCAGCUGGGAUUAGCUUGUUUGUGGGGUAACGGCUCACCAAGGCGACGAUCCCUAGCUGGUCGGAGAGGAUGACCAGCAACACGGGAAAUGAGAAACGGGCCAGAAUCCUACGGGAGGAAGCAGGGGGGAAUAUUGCAAAAUGGGGGCAAGCCGGAGGAAGCCAUGCGGCGUGUAUGAAGAAGGCCUUCGGGUUGUAAAGUACUUUAAGCGGGGAGGCGUUACCCGAAGAAGAAGCACCGGCUAACUCCGUGCCAGCCGCCGCGGUAAUAC